CCGGGAGUCGGGUGGACGUUCGCGUUCGCCAACCUGGUCAGAUCCGGAAGGAAGCAGCCACAACGGAUAGCUGCGGGUCACCCGGCUCCUACUCU
rnacentral:SRP_RNA from 1 species